UUUGGGGGGAAUACCCGGUCAAGUGACUUGACUUUCCGUGUUAUCUUUAUUAUAUGCAAAGUUGUAGUUAUAAUUUUUUGUUUUUGCUUUGUACGCAUCUACUUUAAUAUUAGUAUUGAAUUUCAGUGUGGAUUGAUGCAUCGAUCUAGUGACAUGUUUAUUUAAUCAUCUCUUCAAGUGUUUGAAAUGACUCACAGUUGGAAGUGUAGAACUUUGGAUUGUAAUUAUUUAGUAAACAAAGAGUGUAAAAUGUGAAUACUUCAGAAACGUGUCUAAUUCGUUGCUUCUGUUUCGCAUCGCUUGUAUUGUUAUUCAGCUGCUGAUAUUGCAGUAAAAAAUGAAACUUCGAGAACAGUAACAUUAUGUUAAUAUAUUAUUUUGACAUUUUCCAGAAGCAUUGAUUGACUUUCCUACUUUCUUCAAUCCCUCCGUCAAUCUGUUGCCAAGAUCAACAUCCACGUUAGAGAAGUUUCUCACAGCUCUUUCCACUAUGAAGUUUGAAGCACCUUUAAGACUGGCUACCAGGUUGUUGACAAGUCGGGUCCGUGCAUCUGCAUCAAGCACGUUUCUCCAUAACAAUGUUACUUGACCAAAGUCAUCUUCGUUAACGGGUUCAUAACGAUCAACGUCACCGAAAACGCUAAAUGGUGGUGAUUUGACGGCCGGACAUUCUUCAGGUCCACUGAAGCUGUUGGGGUAAUAGUUAGGAGCACCAUUUUGAUUGUAAACAGGCAUAAGGCCAUCACGUUGGUAGUUGAUUGCUGAUAUACUCUAAAAUACAUAAUAUUAAUAUUUAUAUCGAUUAGCAUUUCGGUCACAAAAAUAAUAUGUAUAAAUAUAUGGAAUUUAAUUACUUUGUAGGGGCAGUUAACAGGUAACUGAAGAUGGUUUGGUCCCAGACGAUGUCUGUGAGUAUCUCCAUAUGCAAACAAUCUACCCUGAAGCAUUUUGUCUGGACUGGGUUCAAUUCCAGGUGGCAUAUGUGCAGGAUCAAAUGCCAAUUGUUCUACAUCAGCAAAAUAAUUAUCCGGAUUUCUGUCCAGUACUAAUUUCCCUACAGGAAUGAGAGGAUAAUCCUUGUGAGGCCAAACCUGCGUAAUUAGUUUCAGAUCCAUUACCUGCUCCUUUAGCAUGGACAACACGUUCAGGAAUUCUCUCCCGAUCAAAAUGAGACAUCUCAUCGAGAUAAACGAAAUCCUGGAGCAAUAGAGGACCUCGGGGGCCCACAGUAAGGCUGG